CAGUCGAACGGAACUGUUUUGAAAGAUUUCUUCGGAAUGAAUUUGAUUUAGCUUAGUGGCGGACGGGUGAGUAACGCGUGAGUAACCUGCCUUCAAGAGGGGGAUAACAUUCUGAAAAGAAUGCUAAUACCGCAUGACAUAUCGGAACCACAUGGUUCUGAUAUCAAAGAUUUUAUCGCUUGAAGAUGGACUCGCGUCCGAUUAGUUAGUUGGUGAGGUAACGGCUCACCAAGACCGCGAUCGGUAGCCGGACUGAGAGGUUGAACGGCCACAUUGGGACUGAGACACGGCCCAGACUCCUACGGGAGGCAGCAGUGGGGGAUAUUGCGCAAUGGGGGCAACCCUGACGCAGCAACGCCGCGUGAAGGAUGAAGGUUUUCGGAUUGUAAACUUCUUUUAUUAAGGACGAAAAUUGACGGUACUUAAUGAAUAAGCUCCGGCUAACUACGUGCCAGCAGCCGCGGUAAUACGUAGGGAGCAAGCGUUGUCCGGAUUUACUGGGUGUAAAGGGUGCGUAGGCGGCUUUGCAAGUCAGAUGUGAAAUCUAUGGGCUCAACCCAUAAACUGCAUUUGAAACUGUAGAGCUUGAGUGAAGUAGAGGCAGGCGGAAUUCCCCGUGUAGCGGUGAAAUGCGUAGAGAUGGGGAGGAACACCAGUGGCGAAGGCGGCCUGCUGGGCUUUAACUGACGCUGAGGCACGAAAGCGUGGGUAGCAAACAGGAUUAGAUACCCUGGUAGUCCACGCUGUAAACGAUGAUUACUAGGUGU
rnacentral:rRNA from 1 species